UACGUAGGGUGCAAGCAUUAAUCGGAAUUACUGGGCGUAAAGCGUGCGCAGGCGGUUUUGUAAGUCUGAUGUGAAAUCCCCGGGCUCAACCUGGGAAUUGCAUUGGAGACUGCAAGGCUAGAAUCUGGCAGAGGGGGGUAGAAUUCCACGUGUAGCAGUGAAAUGCGUAGAGAUGUGGAGGAACACCGAUGGCGAAGGCAGCCCCCUGGGUCAAGAUUGACGCUCAUGCACGAAAGCGUGGGGAGCAAACAGG
rnacentral:rRNA from 1 species